rnacentral:rRNA from 1 species
CCUACGGGUGGCAGCAGUGGGGAAUAUUGGACAAUGGGGGGAACCCUGAUCCAGCCAUGCCGCGUGUGUGAAGAAGGCCCUCGGGUUGUAAAGCACUUUCAGUGAGGAAGAACGCCUGGUGGUUAAUACCCAUCAGGAAAGACAUCACUCACAGAAGAAGCACCGGCUAACUCCGUGCCAGCAGCCGCGGUAUUACGGAGGGUGCGAGCGUUAAUCGGAAUUACUGGGCGUAAAGCGCGCGUAGGUGGCUUGAUAAGCCGGUUGUGAAAGCCCCGGGCUCAACCUGGGAACGGCAUCCGGAACUGUCAAGCUAGAGUGCAGGAGAGGAAGGUAGAAUUCCCGGUGUAGCGGUGAAAUGCGUAGAGAUCGGGAGGAAUACCAGUGGCGAAGGCGGCCUUCUGGACUGACACUGACACUGAGGUGCGAAAGCGUGGGUAGCAAACAGGAUUAGAUACCCUAGUAGUC